rnacentral:rRNA from 1 species
UUUUGCUACGGAACAACAGUUGGAAACGACUGCUAAUACCGUAUGUGCCCUUCGGGGGAAAGAUUUAUCGGCAAAGGAUGAGCCCGCGUUGGAUUAGCUAGUUGGUGAGGUAAAGGCUCACCAAGGCGACGAUCCAUAGCUGGUCUGAGAGGAUGAUCAGCCACACUGGGACUGAGACACGGCCCAGACUCCUACGGGAGGCAGCAGUGGGGAAUAUUGCACAAUGGGCGCAAGCCUGAUCCAGCCAUGCC